UCUACAGUUUUGACAUUCCUUAGAUAUCAACAUUGACCACUGUCACCCUUAUUGCCAACUUAAUUGACAAGAACCCCUGAGAGGUGCCGGGGUGCCAAAGCAACAAGACAAGGGACCCAAUUUGCCCCUGAAAGUGACUGAUGCAUGGAGAUAAAGCGGUGGCACCAACUGGCACAAUUCCUACUAAACAGGUGCUCCUUGCUAGAGUACAUAGUGCUCCUUUUGUUUAAAGGAAGGAUGGACUAUUUACGUGUACAGAGAAUUCUGAAAGGAAAACCCGAGAACGUCUACAUCCGGGUCCUGCGAGGCGGUGAUGGGCUCCCAGGCCUUAGGCUGACUGCACUCUACUCCAUCUUAUUGAAAGCCUGCUCCAAUUCUUGGAGAAGUCCACGUUCAGAGUUUUGGGAACUGUUUUGUGCAUGUGUCCAGGACCUUGUAAAUAACAGGCCAUGCCUACUUCCCCAGCCAGGCUUUGCUAUGCCCUAAUUUCUUAUUUCUGUAUGAAAAGCAG